rnacentral:lncRNA from 1 species
UUUUUUUUUUUUUUUUUUUGGAUACUUGUACAUAUGGAAGUACAAACUUAAAAGGAAACAUCAAAAAAAGAAAAGGAAAAAAUUGGAAAAAGAAAAAUAUAUUUGUGUAUAAGUAGAGUUUAUAUUUAUAACGAUCGUAACUACCUCUUUUAUCCUCUGCCGGGAGCAUGUGAGAACUGAGAAGCCCAGAAUGGCAGCUUUUACUUCUACUACUAGUACUACAUUUUGCCUAUCUUCCAAAAAUACAACCAAAUUUCUAAAAUUUCUUCUUACAAAAACUGUUGUUUCAUUCCCAAAACCCAAAUUAACGGCUGCAACUAGUCAUUUUCGGUUAAUUUCCAGAUGGGCUUUUUCCAAUUCCAGUUUCAAGAAACUCAGCCGCGUUUUCUGCAGCACACUCCCCACUGUCUCCACUUCCACAACCCACUACGAGGUAUUGUUCUUUGACCAAGAAAAUUCUUUAACGUUGUUAUUGUUUAAAUUUGUAGCAGCCCCGAAAGGAAAAUCAGAGAUAAAUUAUACGAUGAUUCUGUUUUUUUUGUGGAUUUUCUUUUUCUGUUUCUGUUACAAGUUUGUGAAGCAAAUUACUGAUGAAGCAAUUUUAGUAGUUUUUGAUGGAUGAUUAAUUUUUUAUUUGUUAGAUAUGGUGGUUAUGCGAAUGUUACUCCAUUUUGAAACAAUCCUGAAAAUGCAAAUUAUAUGAAUUCAACUUAUGGGUAUAAACUAUAAUGAAUGUGAUGAAUUUCCUUAUCCAAUUCCCCACGUUGAAUAAGUGUCAUAGCUUUUUAGCUACAUAGUUCUAUAAGGAACUGAAUACAAUUGAAGGAUUUUUUAAAAAAAUAUAUAUUUAUCUUUGGUGCUAUUAUAAAUUCUUUUUGCAAGACUUCUUGUCGUGUUGGAAAGACAUGGUCCAACGGUAAUGGGAAAGAGUUAUAGCCUUGCAGUGGGGAGAUCAAAAACUAACUCGUUGGAUAAAUAGAUGAGAGCUUGAGUGACUAGAAUGGGACCAAUUAUUGAAUUCUUUUUCAUCAUGUUCACCGUUAUAUGUGCUUGAAUUGGUUCUUGAAAUGUCGAGAAUUAAUUUGAAUUACUGCAUGCUGGUGGAAUGUAAUGUUGAGGCAUUUCCACCAGUGCCACGCUAAAAGUGAAUACAGAUGUAGAAGCUCUUAGAUGUUCGUUCAUGCUGUCUUUCAGUUCUUGUAAGAGUAUAGAACUCCCAUUAUUGCCGAAAUCUUUGUCCUCCAACGAGUUUCCAUUAAACUUUUCUCAAUUGUGUUUCUUCUCAUUUAUUAAUGACUUGUUGAAACUUGGUCGGUUCAUCCUAAUUUGAUAAUUAAAUGUUUUUUCUUAUUAAAAUGCAGUUUUCUGACGGUUCCUCCGAGGUGGAGUUAAGAUUAAAACUUGGGGAUGUGGAUGUAAGUUCUAAAGAUAUAUUUGUAGAUGCAAAUGACAAUUCCUUGGUGAUCCAGGUGCAGCAUUCUGGAUUUCUUCAGACUCUCAUAAACACCAGCUGUCUAUAUGAGAGGAUAAAACCUGGUGAAACAAUAUGGUACAUGCACCAUGCACUCUAGCAAAUUUUAUUUGAAUCAGUUCUUGAAUCAUCCAAUUUGAAUUUUUUUAUCAUCAUUACAGGUAUAUAGAUGAUGAUGAGCUUGUUGUUAACUUGAAGAAGCAAGAUCCUGAACUGAAUUGGCCUGACAUUAUUGAGUCCUGGGAGUCUCUUACAGCAGGAGUCACACAACUUUUACAAGGAACAUCAGUUUAUUUAGUUGGGGAGUCAACUGAAAUAAACCAGAAGAUCGCUCGAGAGCUGGCAGUUGGCCUAGGGUAAAGUAGCUCAUGCAAUAGAGUUGUUAAGUGAUUCAACAUUGGGUGUCUUUUUGGAAGUUCCUUGACCUGUUAGAUGCUUAUUCUUUUAUCUACUAUAUACGCUGUGACCACAUGAUUUUGCAUCAUUGUCUCAUAGACUGUGAAAUCGAUCUUACCUCCCUUGUUAAGGAAAAUGCCAAGGAAAGGCCGGUAAUUAAGUUCUGGAUGCUUUAGUAUUAGGUCAUUAUGUUGUUUCUGCAUAAUUCUCUCGUGUUUUAAAAACAUAGAAGGAAACUGUUGUUUCCUUCAUGCUUCUAUGUCCUUAAAAUUUCUACUACUAAUUCAUCUUUUUUCUCAGAUCAGCUUAGUAGCUUAAAGGGAUGCUUGUGUGUUAUUUUUCAACAUGUGUGUUAGACAAAUUUAUAGUUCGGUACUUUGGUGAACUUUACAGCUCUUUCUGAAAGAUUACCGGUGCAUUUCUAUGUCUAGUUCAUAUAUUUUUUUGGCCUGACAGGUUUCUGCAUUAUUAUCCUCUUUUUUGUGUUCUUCAGGUAUACACCUCUAGAAACAAAAGAGCUAGUGGAAGCAUUUGCAAAGCAAACAAUCGAUUCAUGUAAGUGCCCUUGUGCUUUAGUCAACAGAAAAGAUUUUGCUUCUUUGUUAAGAUCUUAUAAUACAGAUUCAUGGUUAGGAACCGCCCUUCUAUGUCCUUGACCCUUUUUUUUCUUGGAUUAAGACUGAUCAGUUUGUCUUUAAUAAGGAAUAUGUUACUAGCAAUCAAGGAAUGUAUAGGCAAUAUUUCUCUUUCAAGGGACGAAAUAAGCCUCAGGAGUUACACCAGCUUCAUUUAUUACUAGGAUAUAUGAGCAACAUGACAGUUUUUGCAGUGUAAAACAUAUUAAAGGUUCAACCUUUUAACCCAUUUACUCUACUUUUCUUCCCCAAAUUAGCUUGCAUCAGACCCCCUGAGUGUGUGGAUGACAGCUUUAACCCUUGCACUGACCCAAUGGGGUAGUCGGCCAGUGUCCUGGGCCAAGAACAGGCAAAAGUCUAGCUGUUGGCAGCUAAUUAAGUACCAAUGGAGGAAAACUGUGUUUAGCUAUAUGGAAAUUCUAAAGUCUGUUAAAACUGCUUUAAAGUUUCUUUAUCCCACACAAUGCAUUAACAGAUGUAAUCAUUUCCAGGGGUCGCUGCAGAGGGUUAUGAUGCUGUGGCUGAAGUAGAAGGUGCUAUAUUGGAAAAUUUGAGUAGGUACACAGUUUUUCCUUGUAUUCAUUUCCUUGGUCUUCAAAAGAUGAAUAUUUUAACGUGAAUCAAUCUUUUAGUCAUGCUCGUACGGUUGUGGCAACAAUAGGAGGGAAACAUGGUGCAGCUAGUAGGACAACUCAGUGGAGGCACCUAUUUGCUGGAUUUACAGUUUGGUUGUCACAGUCAGAAGCAACAGGUGAGGUAUCUUCUCCUGUAUCUUAGUAUCAAAUGUCUGAGCCCUACUCUAGAUUCGGAAGGCAAAACUUCUUAGUUGCUUUGAUUUCCAUGUUGUCUAGUCAUUGCUUUCUGGUCUUCAUGCUGUCGUGUAUAGACGACAUCGUCUGCACAUGGAAACCCAUACGUUAUAAUAGUGUGUUAAGUUUUCUAUUUUAGAGCAUACCAAUGGUAUUAUAUGACUGUGUGUUAGUUCCUAUUGUGCAAGUGCUAAAACAUCUGUCUUGAUGUUUAAAAGUUCCUCACUAAGGUUAAAAACUGCAAUGCUUAUGGACUCAGAAUGAAAAGCAGUAUCACCAAUAAUUCCACAUAGACAACAGAAUCUUAUAAAGCAGCUAGCAAAAUUCCAGUCUCCACGAUAGCUAAGAUCAUGAUGUUUAGAUUAAAAGAAAAAUUAUAUGGGUUUAUACGAAAAUAACAAGUUCGUUCCCAAGAAUAGGCCUAUAAAUGCUUGACUGCAAACCUCAUGUGCCUUCUUUAUCUCUAGGGUGCAUGACGACACACCAAAAGCAUCAGACCUAGUGAGUUGUGAUCUAUCUCUAGCUGUUUGUGUUUACUUGUUUAUCUGAGCUAGAGUGGCUUGUCGCAUAAGUUAACCAGAGAUGAAAAACCUGAAAUUGAAUGAAAUUAUCUUAUUAGUACACAAACAGGUAGGCUAACAGAGCUGUUGUUCGCAUAUGCUAUGGAUGUGCCUAUUCCAGAUGUAGGAUAUCCGUUCCGGUGCAGUUGAAAAUAUCGUUCUCGUGUGAGCCUUGCUAGUUUAUAUUUCAAAUCGUCAUUCUAUGAGCUUUUGUAUUCAGAUGAAGCUUCAGCAAGAGAUGAGGCCACGAGGCACUUUGAAGAUGGUGUACAAGGUUUCUCUAAUGCAGAAGUGGUAGUCAAGCUCGGAGGUUGGGAUGCCAACUACUCAAAGACUGUAGCUCAGGCUUCACUGAGUGCCCUCAAACGCUUAAUCUUGUCAGAUAGAAAGCUUCCAGGUUUACUUUUCAUCCCUUACCAGACAAUGUAUCCCAUUUAAGAAUUAUCCUGAAUUGCUGAUCGAGGGUCUUUAAUAGAGCUAAGUUGGAAGGAGUGAACUCCCUUUCUGUAUAUCUGGUGGUCUCAAUUAGGGAGUAGAUGGUGUACAUGGUGCAUUGCAUGAGCAAAAAUCCUGCAUAACAGUUAUCAACACUCUCCUCAUUUUCUCUGAUGUUGAUGCCAUGAUGACAUCGUUGACUCGGUUCAUUUUUCUAGGUAAAAAGAGUCUUUACGUGAGGUUGGGAUGCCGAGGAGACUGGCCAGAUAUCAAACCUCCUGGUUGCAACCCAUCAACAACAGAUGAUGCAUCUCUUCCUGGAUCUUAACUCUUGGUAAACUGCACAAAGUUCUUUUCAGCAAGAACAAUCUGUUUGCUUCUUUUUAUUUUGCAUUUUUUGGAGAGGGAGCAAAGAGAUAGCUGCAUUAUGAAAAGAUGUUCACAGGGGCCAAGUAUUAGCAGAAAUGCUUCUACUUAAUGUACGAGCUGAAUAUUGUAUUCCUGUUCCUGUGUGAAUCGCAUUUUUCUAGAUUUUGAACACAGUUUACUGGAGGUACUGCUUCAGCAAUAGCUGUAUGUACUGCUCACAGUAAAUUCUAUGUUAUCAGAACAAUAAACAUUUCAUUCUGAAAGUUAAUACUCAACUCUCCAGGGCAUAUAAUUAUAUUGGGUGAUGCACACCAGGUGAGGAAUUGGAUGGGGAAUUUAUGGGACCAUAACCUUCACCACACUUGGAGGGAAGACAAUUAGAGUCUGUGUAAAAGCUACAGAGAAGAAAACUGCAUGCAUGUUCUGUAACACCCCCCCCCCCCCAACCCACCAAAAACCAACAUAAAGGGAAGGAAAUUAAUGGUUGUCCCUUUUUGUCAAAGAUCAACUCUAGCUUGAAUCAUCAUCUCAUGGAUAGUUUGAUUGAUUAGAAUCAGUUCUGUCAUUGGAAGACUAGUUAGGAAAAUCAGGCAUUGUUGGUUUAGGCAAGCACGCUAUAAUGAUGGAUUCAUCAAAAAUUUGAACAAGUUAAAUCAUCUCAUGGACAAGCUACCACUAGCAACUUCAUUUAUCGGUUCUGUAAUUCAAAAUGCUCAACUAAAUUUAAUUCAUUUCCCAUCACAUGUAAUUGUUCCACACUUCUCUAUCCAUUUCUUAUACUUGCAAAAUAAGAGCCAAAAUAUGUCAGGAGAUUUGUCAGUACUAAAUGCCAAUAAUUUUUGCGAUUUUCCUUCUUUUUAGCAAUUUCCAAACAGUAUUUAGCCAUUUUCCUCUUUAGGCUACUUCUAAAUGCUGAUUCGUACGUAGAUUUGAAAGACCUCAAUCUUCUUGCAAUAUAAAAACUUGCAUUUUCGAGCCAUGUCACACUCAGUGUAUAGCUUCUCAACCAAUGAUUCGCAUUACAAAGCCUUUAUAUGGUUGAGCAGAACAAACGAAAUUCAACAUUUAUUAAAGAGUCAGAUUUCUCAUUGGAGGGUAAAAUAAGAAACUAAGCCGCAGUGAUGAAUCUGUUUCAAAGGACUCCACAGAUGAGAUGUUCCAUUCAAAAGAGAUUAAACUACAUAGUCACAACUUAAAAGCUGAAAACCAGGCCUUUCAACAAGUUUUAACACCAAUUCUCCACAAAUCAUCAAAACACCAUAAUCAUGUAGAGCGAACCCAAGCUUCCGAUUCAGGUUUCGGAGUCACCAAUUCAACUUUAGAUUUCAACUGCAUCUGCAACAACAGGAGGGAAAUAAAAAGGACUAAUUACUAAAGAUGCAAGCUAGAACCUCGAGCAGUCAGUUUUAUAUAAAAUCCCAAGCUAAGGUGAUAGGAAUUUGAUGCUAUCAAAAGAAGUUUAAGCAGUCCACAAAGAGUUUAGAAAUUAGUAUACAACACACCAAAUCUAUUGCUCAUCUUUGGGCUGAAUGCCCAAAAUCCAACCAUAUACAUCUUAACAAUCUAUCAGCUUCAAUUUCACAAUAAACAAAGACCGUCAGAGAGUAUCAAAAGGCUCUAGCAAACCCAAAGACUUGCAUGAAAUGCAGGGGGAAAAAUAAUGCUUUUACUUUCAAUAUGAUAUCUACCCUGCAUCAACUCAAAAAUGCCCAAACACAACCCUCACCCCCCCCCCCAUGUAUGAAACACAUUGAACAGUUUGAAGAAAGAUAUAUCAGGAAAACAAAACAUGUACUCCAGCCCAAAGGUAUGAAUCAGCAGACUUUACCGAAGCAUAAACUACACAUAUGAACACCAACACAAAGGUUAUAAAACUCCAGAACACAUCAACUUGCUUCUCAAAGUCAAUGAGGGCCUAAGUUUCAUUAGUUUCCCUUGUAUUGAUCACAUGGAUUUAAGAACUGGUGAAGCCCUCAAAUAGCCCAGUGUAUCAACCGUUUUGGAAAGUGAUAUAAUAUGGUCGCUGCUCACUAAAUUGCUACAGACUGGUGUGUUAACCUUCUAAUAAAUGAGGUGACCUGGGUUAUUCAAUCAUUUUCUUACUAAAUCACUAUAGAAACAAGAACAGAUAAGACCAGCUUGCAAGCAAAAUCUGAUUGAUGACAGGAAUGAAUGGUGAAAGAAUCACUAAUACGAACACUAUAGUAAUCACUAAUAUUAACAUGUCUGAAUCAAAUCAUCUUUCAAUUAUUUUGAUCAGUCUAAGCCUUACCUUGGACUGGAGACUUGUAAUUGUGGACCUCAGCAAAGAAUCCCCAACUAUCAUCCUCAAGUUUUUAACGAAAUCAUCGCGAGUCAUCUUCUUAUUCUGUAAGGAAUGACAAAGCAAAAAAGGAAAAAGAGACGAAAGAAGGUAACAGCUCAGACUUGAACCAGGUUGGGAAAAAAAAAUUGUGUGUGUCUAGCAGACAUACCCUGAAUUCAUCAUAAUUACUUCGAACAACAUUCAAAUCUUUUUCAGGAACUUCAUCGGCAAUGGCAUCAAGCAACAUAGGGAAAGGCAUCCAAGGGGACUUGGGAGUCCUCAGAGAAUUUGAAACCUGGUUGCCAGCUUUUUCUGGAGGCCUUCCAUUCAAAACCUGAUUGCAUUCACUUGCCUAAGAUAAAAACAGUUAAAAAAAGUUGCAGCAAUGCAAGCAAAUAAGCAAAUAGCAAAAGAAACAUAAAAACAGGUAUGUUAUCAAAAAAUGGAAAUGAUUUUAGCUAGCCAAAUGGUUAUAUAAGUCCCCCACACAAUAGUCAACUUCCUAGCAGCACAAAAGUUAUUUACAGGAGGAAAUUGCAAAUUGCAACCUAGCUCAACAAAGCUCGAGCCAGUAGAGUACAAAGGUUCACUCUGAAGGCUCAUUAAGGAGUCAGUUGACAGAAGCUAGACUAAUACCCUAUUCAAAAAUGAUAAAGAUAAAUAUUGGUAGCUUCCAGAAAUUUGAAAGCUUUAGUUUACUUUAUAAAUAACACGAAUCAAAUUCAGGCACCACAAAGACCCAGGAUAAAGAAUCAAGUGAGCAAGAGGACUAUGCGCAUUUUUGCAGCCUCAAGAGGAAAGCCAUUAGCUUGCUAUCAGUUAAUUCAACUUGUCCUAAAAGCUGCAUACCAAAUAGAGGACAUCCCCGAUCAGAAGAACCUUGUGAACCAAGCCACAUUUCAGAUCACUCCUCAAGCAUGAAGUGCUCUGUACUGAAAAUCAUCAUAUGAAGGAUCCACAAGGUAGGAUUUUCUUGCCAUCAAGUACAACAUUUUCAUGGAAUAUCCCACGUUUAACCAAUGGGAACACUCCAGUCAAAAGCAUAGAUAUCACUUGUUUGCUAUAUCUGUGAAGUCAAGAUAUGUAACCAACUUCAAAUUCAAAAAAGCUCACCUCAAUGAUCCAUUCACAAGCUCAAUGCGCUUUAUAAUUAUCAGCUUUGGCCACACUAUUUCAUACUUUAACUUGCCAAAUUAAGUUCACCAACUGCUUCAUGCACACCAAAUGAUCAAGAAACUAUCCAACAAUCCAACAUUAACUUGUAGAAAACAUGGGCGGGAAAAAAUAAGUCAUCGGAUCCUCAAAGAUAAACAUAUGUGCCCAUCAGAUUGAUCUUACUCUUUCUUAUAAGUCAUUAACCACAAGUGAAUUGCAACAAAAGAAGAUAAAUCAUCAUCAAACCGCACAAAGUAAGUACUCCAAAUCAUCUCCACUCCCAUUAAGCACUGAAAGCCCAAUAAUAAACCAGGAACUGCUUUUGAUAAUAAUAAUCACGUUACAUGUUUCCAUUACUUAGAAACAAGGGGCCCCAGGGAUUAGAAGAAAGACAAUUACAAUCACUAGUACUCGCAUCACAACCGCAAUUUAUCCCAUCCAGCAAAACAAAACAUGGAUUGUCUAUUUUCUCAUGUCUCAAACAAGUGUUUACUCCAAAUUGGGAAGUUGAGCACAAUACACAGAACAAAAGCACUGCCACAACUACACAUUACAGUACCCAACCUUCACAAUGCCUGUUAUUGGUGCCAACAUCAAACUGCCAGUUAGCAAAUGUUUACCACAUGAUACACAGGCACAAACUUACAUCAUAUGUCAGGCCCAUAAGACUUCACUUCAUCCUUGCACGUGUCCUAGCAUUUCAAGUGGGCAAAAAGCACACAUGAAGAAACUUGGUCCUGCUGUACAUUCAAGACCAUUCCAUAUUGCCCCCAGAGAGAAACAAACUUGACAUGAAAUGUCUACGACAAACAAUUUUCCCCUUGCUAAAACAACUUCAGCCCAACAUGGACAGAAGUUCAACAAUUGAGAAACUGAUCAAUUUUAUUCACCUUACGCCCACUUUAUUUAAACAAACUCUCAUCUUCGCUCUAGUAGAAAAUAAGUGGUGAAAGGUAAUGCCCUAUAACUGUUACAGUCACUUCAGUACAAAACCUAGAAGCGCCAGGCAAUAAACUAGUAGUUUUCGUCCAAAAGUGGAGAGCAGGCUUCAAAUACCUGAAGUACUUGAAACAGCCAAGGAAAGAAAAAUGAACCCAAAAAAAAAAGAUUUAUAUACCUGAAGUACUUACCAGAUCAGUUGUAGACGAGUCCAUGUUUACCUGCCCUUCAGGUACUUGAUGACAAAUGCUAGUCCCUUUUAAAUCAAUCUUUCCCUCAGUUUUAGCCAAAACUCCUGUAACACAAAAACAAAAGUAACCACUACUACUAGUUAAUGCUUGGAUAAGGUAACUAGCACCUUGCACACAGUUCAAGAUAGGAAUUUUUAGUUUGACCGUUCAUGCUUCAGCUGCAAGUUUUAGAAUCAGCGACUACAAAAAACUGAUUUAACUUCAUAUUCCUUCACAUUUGAGCAAUAUCACUAAUACAAAUGUAUUAUAUACAAUCCAACCAUCUGAAUAAAUCAAGCCUAAGCCUAAGCCUAAUGAAAAAACUUUCAACUAAGGAUGCAACAUGCAUGUUUGAGACUAUAUUAAUUACAAAACUAUUAAGGGGUAAAUCAUCACCUUCAGCAUCAGAAGAAAUCUUGAAACUGAUAGCAUAUUCUGGGUAGAUAUGAGAAUUUGCAUUCAUGUUCCAUACUACAUAAUGGCUUGGGUUUUGAAAAUCAUCCAUUCCACUAUCAAAGUCCUCGCUACUGGGAUGGAACUGUUCUGAUCCAGGAUGAACAAGCUCUGUGUUUCCCAUUAUUACACGACAAAAUACCAUAUGUCGUACACCAUUUUCGUCAACAUCAGAAUAAUUUGCACUGUGAAAAAAAAAAGAAGGCUGAAACCUCACUGAAAAUGCAUCAAGGAUGAAAGUAUGAUUAUGAUUUACGGAAGAAACCAGAAGUUGAUAUAGCAAAUGUGAAGCCAUGCAGAAACGAGCUGCUAGGUUCUUUACCCAUUACUGCAAAAGCUAGCUAUGCCUAAAAUACAUGUUGCACAGACCGAAUACAACGAUGCAAUUAUUCCUAUUUCAAAAUCAAGAUGAAAAGAUGUCGACUGAGGACGAAGUUUUCAAAAUUAUAAUGACAAAAAAACUUUCAGCAAAUAUCAGCAAUCCUCAUAUUAACAUGAAAAGAGCCAGUUGAGUAAAGCUAGGCAGCAAAGGAGUAUAUGAGAGGCCGUAAGCCCACCAAAGCAUCAAAUUCUACUGAGAAAUGAACUAAACAAUAUUCCAUGAAUGAAAUGAAUGGCUACAAACAUAGCAUGAAAAAAUGCUUAAAUCAAUACUUCACCUGAAUUCAAAAAGAUGCAUUUGACUUAUCUACAGUAUGCUUGGUCCAAAAAGUGAAGCCAAGGGGAACAGCGUACAACCAUAGUCCAUAAAAAGCAAGAAAGUGAGCAAUGUUUACCUUGGUAUAAUUUGAGUGGAAUGAGUUGCUAAAUGAAAACAUUUUCCAGCAAACCUACAAGUUCUAACCAACUUUGUUGUAAAAAAAAAAUGCAAUGAAAACAGAAAUUUCUUCUACAUAAAGAUUCUUGACCUAAUCUCUGUCACACUUCUCUUCAAAAGGCGCACAUUUAAUUCCCCCCCUCCUAACACUACUACUUACCUGAACUAGAUAUAAUAAUAAAUGAAAUAGAUGAAAAUAAAAUACGUCAAUCAACAUAAUCAGCAAUAAUGUCAUUUUUACAUCAGAGAUACAAUACCAGAAGUUCAUUAAAAAUCAUUCAGAAGCAGUAUAGGACAAUUCCAAACAAAGAAACCAUUCUCCAAAUCUUGUCACCUUAGCCCCACAACUUCCUUGUCAGUCCAAUAUUGGGGAGUUAAAAGGAAGCAAUGAAAAGUAAAAAACCAACCCCCAUAAUCAACCAUGAUCACAAUAUUGGCAAUGUUCAGUGAUCACUAACACGAACAGUGAAAGAAAAUUCAAACCUGAGCUCAGUGCAGUUUGCAGGGAUAAGGUGAACUCCAAUGCCAUACACAGGCCUAAGUUUUGUUGGCAGCGAAAAGCCAAGGCCAUACUUCAUAAUACUAGCAGCUGUUUCUUUAGAAGAUGGGAGCCAAGCAUAUCUCACAUUUGCGUCCCCGCGACAGCUUUUAGUGAUGGCAACCUGUUUCUUGAAAAGCUCAAAUCGAGAUUCCAUAAAGACGCCUGAGCCACAAUGGAUCUCAAUUAUAUUUGCAUUAUCCUGAAAACAUAUGCCAUUGAAGAAAAAAUCUCUCACAGUAUCAGAAUCUACUUUCUCCAUCUGUUGGUUGUCAACAAGGGUCACAUCAACUUUCUCAUUUGCUUCUCUGACGCUACUGUCUUCAGCUUCUCCAUCAUAACCUUCUCCUCCAAGUUUGUGAUGAACAUGAAUUUCUUUAAGAAGAGCAUUUGAUUCUCCACUGGACUCCCUCAAAUUUGAAAUAUCUGAACCAUUUAUCGCAAUCUCAAGUUGCAACUUGAUGUCACCAGACACCUGAGGUUCUGAGACUAGAUGGUCCUGACUUCUCUUAUUAUAGGAGCAGGCAUGGAAUUCGCCACCAUCAACAAAAGUCUCAGGGAAAAAGCACUUCCCAGCUUCAUCAAUCCAUGCAAUGGGCUGCAGCAGACCAGUCUUUAAAUCCAGUUGGAACAUAUGCAAGAAGUCUAGUGCAAUGCGUUUCUUAUUAAACUGCAACUCAGUCAUUGCCUUCUUUUGUUGAAGAUCUUUCUUAACCAACAUAAGAAUGUCUUUGGGGAAAUCAACCCAUUCACCCUUUUGGUAAUACAUCAAGCGCUGUGGCAGCCCAGUUUUCAUGAAAUUCACAUGGUAUACUGGCAACUUUCUGCCAUCAAGUUUCCUCCGCUUGCAGAGUUGAAGGGGAGAACCCAGGUUGGAUCGUGAUGGAGACAUGCCAUUUUUUCCAACCAAUGAUGUUUCGACCUGGGCUGCCCGCUUCCUCUUCAGGUCAGGAACAACACGCCAUCUGCUACCCAAUACCUUGGCGAAUUUGGUUUCCAUUUCUACCCACAGGAUCAAUCCCUAUCCGCUGAUUCGAAGCCAAAAGUUGAAAGAGUACUAUUACAUACGACUCUGUCUUGAUUAUUUCUUAAAGGGAAUGUUCCAUUUUUAAAAGUCAACGGAAACCUGGAUGACAAUGGCCAACUCAAUUAGAAAUAUUUUGCAAUUAUUAAUUUCUUGUAGUAAGUCUUUACAUGAUACAAUGAAUUUAGCAACAAGAACCAGACCUCAUACAAAGAGAAACAAUACAAUGAAUCACAAGAAGUUUGACAAAAAAUCUCACAUGCAGAAAGAGACAGACUUGAUCAAUUUCAGUUCAAUUAAAUGUAUUAAGGCAACAAUGCUAAAGCUCACCAAUAUAGCUUCAUAAAGAGGAAGAAAAUCUUUUUCUCAGGAAUAUUUUUCAUCAGGGCAAUUUCACGUAUUUUCAUACCCCAAAUUAAACUGUAUUGUGUUCACUUAAUGCAUGUAACCGAAGACAACAUAAUUGUUUCUGCAAAGACCAAAUAUAGUUAACAACCAAAAAUAGUCGUAUGGGGAAAAAGAUAUGAUACAUGCUUAACAAGACUCUCCGUUUGGGGAAAUAAAACAGAUUAAUUCCAUGUAGACAAGGAUGGUUACGAGGAGGCAUGCAACCAAGUGACAGAAGUUUAUAUCAACAAGAAGUUUAUAUAAAGUUGGCUUAGACCAACUUUAUUGACCACAAACAUCAUCUUAUCAUAGAUGUCUAGGCAAGGUCAACAUGCUUGAUAAGUAUUUCCAUAAAAAAUCUCCUAUCUACAUACCAACUCUUUUGAAUCUUGAGAACACUUAAAAAAAAAAAAAAGGCCAAUUGACACUCUAACUUACAAUAUAUAACAAUUCAAACAAAAUCAAAAUAAAAGAAUGAACAAAUACACAUAGGCUACAUAAUAUUAGCAAUCUUGAGCAACUAUAAAAUAUGAUGUGUCCAUCAAAUUGCAGAUAGAUAAUUAAAAACUCAGUCUGAAAUCUACGCGACAAAGUAAGAAAACAAAAAUUAAGAAGAAAAGAAAAGGUAGGGCUUGACAACUGAUGCCGUCCUACCCACUCUGGCUUAGACAGAAUACUGCAGUGCGACUGCAAAAGCAUCUAUCUUGGAGAUUACAAGGCAUGGGAAGACAUUUCAAGGCUUGAAAGGUGGAAUUUUAUUUUAAACUGACACUAUAAAUAAAAACAAGAAUGCGGUGAUAAAUGGGGAAAAAAUUUAUAUGGAAAAUCACAAGCCAUGCAGAUUACUGACAAUCAAAUAACUCUAGAUCAUCCAAUUAAGAUCAGAAUAAAAGCAAUAAACAAAUCACUCAAGCAUCAAUCUUAACCAGUUAUCAGUAGUGCGUACACAAACUUUCUACUAAUGAAGCAUCAACAUUCACAUUCCCAGGCAAGUAGUGGCAACAGACAGAAACCACCAUGACUACGUAGUUGAGCACAAGGGCACUAGCAGGGGGCUUGACUAGACCAUUUCCCACAACUUGAUGGCAUCACUUGCCCUGCAUCAGGACAACCGAUCACAAAAAGCACCUUCUUAUGCAAUAAAAAGGGGUUACUCUAAUAGCACCCCGUGGUGCAAGCCUAUCUUUGUGCAUGCAAACAAGCUGAAACACAGCCUUCUUCAGAAAGUUACAGCAUUUUUUCCCUAGCUUCGCUGCAUGGAGACCUUAUAGUCGCACCAACAGGGCAACUUAUUUCAGUGUCCUAUGCCCCAACCUAGAUUGUAAACGGAUAUUAUGUGCACAAAAGGCUAUUAACAAAGCUAAACGUUAAAGUUCAAACUAAUAAGGAACAGCCAAAUGUUAUCUUUGGUAGCACAACCCUUUGCCGUGUGCUCAAAGUGCAGUGAUGACGCCAGCUCAACACAUAUUCAUCUCGAUCGAAUUUUAAUUGGUAAUUUGAUGAUGUGCUAGCGGCUUUAGGCCUUCAACCAUUCUAUCUUCCGAGCAUUAAUUGCAAAUUACAUGCCAUAAACAGUCCUCUCCCAAAGGGAACCAAGCGUUAAUAUCCUGUAGCAUUUCCCUUUCUUCCCUGCUUUGAGAGCAACAAGUAAUAACCUUCUCCCAGUUUUAAUCAACUCAUAUCACAAUCAAAUUCUCAUGUAAAAGAAAAAUGGAAAACAGACGCAUACGCACAAGCACACGCGCACCCACACAGAAUCCAUCCAUCAAAGAUAACCUAACUCAAUUCACCAAAAAUUUGAGAAAAAAAUACAAACUAACUUAAUUAGCGAAAAUUUCAGCCUCUAGGGCCCCCAUCAUCUAGAUAUCAACGAUCAAGCAUGCAACUCAAAAGCAUGCAAAAUAAAACACCAGAUUUUCGCAUGCAACGAAUUUACUACUGAUCCCUAGAAACUAACGAAAAAAUCAAAAAAAAAAAAAACUCAACCAAACAACGGUUACUUCAGAUUUUUUUUUUCAGUAAAAAAGGCAAAAAUAAUGACAUAAAUCAGUUUUUAAUUAUAUAUAAACAAAGAGACGGAGAAAACCUUGAUGAAAUACAAAGACCGAGAGCGAAAAGACAAGUCGACGGAUAGGAGAAUCUCUGCUCUAUUCUUCUACGUCGUCGUCUUGGGGGACACAAAACCCUAAAUCAGCAGCACGGCAGGGAAGCAGACUUGUAAGUUUUUUCUCCACUGGGACCGACUAUAAUUUUUCUUUACUUUCCAAUUUUGUACAGCCCAAAAAUUCGAAUUAACGAAUCUACCCUUUUCGUGGAUAAAUGUUAUGCCGGUGGAGGAGCUUGGAGAUGAAGAUUAGUAGUGCCGACGCGGACAGAAAGUAACGGUACCUUACAAUUUGUGUUAAUUCGGUUUUGGCCCUUCAAAUUAACCAAAAGUUUUAUUUAGCCCUAAAAGUGAAAUUGUUUCAAUUGGGCUCUCCAAGUAAUAAAAUCUUUCCAAUUAGGCCCCAGCUUCGAUUUCGUUUCAUUUACUAGCUUUCAUGUCUUUAAUUAUCAAGUGUGCCUUGCAUGUUUAAAUAACCUUAUAAGGCAUUAGGUGAAAGAAAAUUGUUUGUUUAAAGAUAAUUUGGCUAUUUUCGCUAUUAAAAAAGAAGCGGUCGAAAUGAAAAAAUAAUGAAAUUUUAUUAAAAAAAAGAAGAAAAUUCAAGUCUUGUAUGUGAAAGUUCCAUCCACGAGGGUCACUUGUAAGAGAAUAAAUGCAUAAAUAAAAAUAAAUUAUUGAAGUUACAUUGAUGCUUUGUCCUUUAGUGCUCAAUCCUUCCCCCAAAUUGAUUUGGAUGUUGAAUACUACAUGAAUGAUGAAGCUGAAGUCAACGACCCAAUUGAAAUACUUCUGCUUGGUUGAAGAUAAAGUUGGAACAUGUUCGUGUCAAAAGUUUCAUUAUGGCUUUGAUUAUUUCGGAUGGCCAAAAUGAACUGAAUUAUUGCAAGUUGGAGAUUUUGAAAACCGGGUUUGAAUUUUAUUUGUUGUUUCACUUUUGUCCUCAAGUUCAUUUUUAGCCCAAAAAAACACCAUGAACUUUUAGUUUUUUAUUUUUUAUAUUUGAGGGGAAAAAUAUUUAGUUUGUAUCAUGAUAUCUGAGUCCUAAAUUGAGGAGUGCAAGUAAUUAUUUUUGUUUUAUUCCAAGUUUAUUUUGGUUUAGUUUGAUUGUGAGAUAUUCUGAUUUAAAAAUGUCGAAUAAUGUUUGUUUGCAAGGAAAAGUGUAAGAUAGUGCGAGAAAGUUACUUUUUCUUUCGAUGUGUAGUGUUUGUUUGACAGGAAAGUUAGUAAACUUUUCUUCACUUUCCCUCUUUUUUUUUUUGGCAUUUUGUGUCCUAUAGGAUUUUGGGAAAAUUUGUUAGUUAAUCAUAAUAUUUUCAAUAAUUGUCACUAACUACCCAUUUUUCUUUCAAGAUUUUUCUUAUCAAACAAACAUGCAUUGGAAAGUAAUUUUCUCUUUUCUUGACUUCGCUUUCUAUCACCUUACUUUCUCAUGUGACUUUCUUUCCCUCGAAUCAAACAAACCCAAGUUUGAACUUAGCCAAGAGAUGCGCCGGUGUUGGCGUCAGUUUGAAACCACGCUUUCUCAUUGGCAUUUGAAUUCUAUGCUUUACUUUGUUAGGAAUUCAGGUAGAAAAGGGGUCUACGAACUCCAUUUCAUUUUUCAGACUUUUUGCAUUGUAAUCAGUUUGCCAAAUAGUGAAAAUUUGCUCUCUGGGCUAUUUCUCUGUUUCUUUCUCUCAAAGUUCCCCGACUUUUUUUUUUUUUUUCAACAACCGUCCUACCUUCUAUCCAUCUCCUUGUUUUUGAUCCAUUUAUCUCCGAUUCCUGUAAUUACAUAUGUAUGUUCAUCGUACGCAUUAACAUAUGUGUUUAUAAACACACAAGCGCACGCAUAACGGCACAUUUAUAUUCACACAGUUGCACACGCACAAGUAUACACAUACGACAUACGUAUGUACUUAUACACACACAGGGUAAUGGCACAGCUAUGUGUACACACCUAUUUUCUCGUAUUAUCUAUGAAAAUGAAUGGUUUGUUAUGAGUUUGAUGACUUGAGUCCAUUGCAAUUCAUUGAGUUAAUUUGCUCUUAAUUCCCAAAAUAAUUCUGCUUAAGCCAAGAUAAGGGGGGAAACAAAACCCUUUUUUUGUGACGCAUACAUGCCCCACAAAUAUAUGAAUAAUGGGCUAUAUCUAUAUGGAAUAUUUGGGGUAUAAACUUAGAUCAAAUUCAUUAACAGGAAUAUGCAUAUUCGUCCUCAGAUAACCUUUGAAAGCUGUAUACCACUUCAUAUGUUUUCAAACUUUGCUCAAAAGAUGACUUUUUUUAUGGGAAGGGAGAAUCAAAAAAAGGUAGUGGGAUGGAGACAAUAAGGAUCGGACCAUCGUUUGAAGACGAUGAACAAAGAACAAAGUUGUGAACAUAGGCCAAAAGCUCUAUAUAUGAAGUUUAGCAAUUCCUAAAAUUCAGCGUGUACAAAGCUCUAAGGCUUUCUCCAAUGGAAUAUAUCAUUCGCUAAACAGAUGAUGAGUGCAUAGUUAAAGUAAAACAGUAGUGUCAGAAGCAACUCAUCGUCUUGCCCAGCAAUGAGGCUGAUCGAAAUCAAAAUCAUCCAAACUUUUUUCUAUAUGUAUCUAAAAAUUAAAAAUAAAAUAGGACGGUGUGAUUCUUUUCCUUGCCCUCCGACCAACCCACCAUCAGGCCUCAGUCUAUUUCCUAACUGUUGGAGUAAUUACAAUUGGCUUGUACUAUUUUUGUAAGUCAUUUCUAACAGAUCACAAAAAACAAAAUAUACUCGCAGAUGGUGGCGAUUCUUUGGCAACUUCGACAAUAGCGAAAAGAAACGAAUAAAAUUACAAUCCUAAAAAACUGGGAGGCAGACCAUACCGGAGAACCAUACGCACGCAGACACAUGGUCGCAACAAAAGGUACCCCAUAAUUUUAGAUAGAAGCAUAGCAGCCUUGAUUCGUUUAUGUAAUGCAUGGCGUCAUAUUCAGACUAAACCGAAGUAACAUUUCCUUGGCAGUUGGCACACAGUUGAAAGCCAGGAAGAGUUGGGUAGUUUAAUGGACUUGAUACGUGAAACCUUAACACAAAUUAAGAAAAACUCAAUACUGCUAUGGUUACUCUUCAAUUGCUUUAGAGCAAAGUUGUAAGCCAUUCAAGCAAAGGGCCAAAUACUGAAUUCACAAAAACGUCUUUCUUCAACAUCGCCUUGCUUUGAUAACUCACAACAAGCAGACCAAAUUACACAAGCAGGCCGUUGACUUUAAAAGCUGUAUGACAGACAACUAACAAAACUUAACCUACAUUAACAGCGGAGAAAGAACAAGGGGCAGGUUUCC